rnacentral:rRNA from 1 species
GAUAAACGCUGACAGAAUGCUUAACACAUGCAAGUCGAUGAUGGGAGCUAGCUUGCUAGAAGAAGUCAUGGCGGACGGGUGAGUAACGUGUAAAGAACUUACCAUAUAGACUGGGAUAACAGAGGGAAACUUCUGAUAAUACUGGAUAAGUUAGUAGUAGCAUUACUAAGUAAUGAAAGGUAGUAAUACGCUAUAUGAGAGCUUUGCAUCCUAUUAGCUAGUUGGUGGGGUAAAAGCCUACCAAGGCGAUGAUAGGUAGCCGGCCUGAGAGGGUGGACGGCCACAAGGGGACUGAGAUACGGCCCUUACUCCUACGGGAGGCAGCAGUGGGGAAUAUUGGACAAUGGAGGCAACUCUGAUCCAGCAAUUCUGUGUGUGUGAAGAAGGUUUUAGGACUGUAAAACACUUUUAGUAGGGAAGAAAGAAAUGACGGUACCUACAGAAGAAGCGACGGCUAAAUACGUGCCAGCAGCCGCGGUAAUACGUAUGUCGCGAGCGUUAUCCGGAAUUAUUGGGCUUAAAGGGCAUCUAGGCGGUUAAACAAGUUGAAGGUGAAAACCUGUGGCUCAACCAUAGGCUUGCCUACAAAACUGUAUAACUAGAGUACUGGAAAGGUGGGUGGAACUACACGAGUAGAGGUGAAAUUCGUAGAUAUGUGUAGGAAUGCCGAUGAUGAAGAUAACUCACUGGACAGCAACUGACGCUGAAGUGCGAAAGCUAGGGGAGCAAACAGG